GUGGGGAAUCUUGCGCAAUGGGCGAAAGCCUGACGCAGCCAUGCCGCGUGAAUGAUGAAGGUCUUAGGAUUGUAAAAUUCUUUCACCGGGGACGAUAAUGACGGUACCCGGAGAAGAAGCCCCGGCUAACUUCGUGCCAGCAGCCGCGGUAAUACGAAGGGGGCUAGCGUUGCCCGGAAUUACUGGGCGUAAAGGGCGCGUAGGCGGAUCGUUAAGUCAGGGGUGAACUCUGGAACUGCCCUUGAUACUGGCGAUCUUGAGUGUGAGAGAGGUAUGUGGAACUCCGAGUGUAGAGGUGAAAUUCGUAGAUAUUCGGAAGAACACCAGUGGCGAAGGCGACAUACUGGCUCAUUACUGACGCUGAGGCGCGAAAGCGUGGGGAGCAAACAGGAUUAGAUACCCGAGUAGUCC
rnacentral:rRNA from 1 species